rnacentral:snRNA from 1 species
UCACUUCUGACAGCACAUAUACUAAAAUUGGAACGAUACAGAGAAGAUUA